UUCAUACAGUACAUUAAAAACAACAACAGCCUUACAGACAGUUGAAAACAGUAAAUCCUCUUUUGCAACCCAGAACUCAUUGCUGAAUAUGAGAUUUUGGUACAUAUAAAAAGGAAUAUG
rfam:Dipodomys ordii contig_51960, whole genome shotgun sequence.